AGCUGCUGAGACCCCCUAGAAGUGGUAAUGAAAAGUGUAACUUUAGCCUCCCAGCUGUACGUCUCAAUCCAUAAUCCUUCCCCAAAAACCUCACCAUAGAGCCGCCUGCCACUCCCAUGGCGUGCCCAGCCUACACCUCACCGGGCCUUCACGAUUUAUGUAGCACUCCGGAUUCAUACUCUCAACCCCGUAAAAAAAAAGGAUUUGCUCUCUCUUAUAUGACCCGGGGUGGUCAGGGGAGCACGGUGGAAACACAAAAAAGCCCAGUGUCGGAGCCUCACUCCCCAGAUAUGAUUUCUCCUUCAACACGGGGCCAUACCUUGGGAUACUUUAGGACACCAGGCCGGCGUCCGAGCGACCGGAGAGGUUGGGUGGUGGCAGAUCAGCGUGUGGAAGCCAUUCAGAGGUCAGAGACCAUACGCCAAACUCCACCAGAGCCACAUGGCCCAGGUUUUGGUAUGCAGAUACGCAGCCCAGUAAUGAAGCAGCCCAGGCCUGUUCAACGGUGCAGCCCGCAGAGAGCCGCUCGAGGGGAGAGCGUUCAGAGCGCCUGCACGCGCGCGGCCUAAUGAGGAAACAAUCAGCUGCAGCGGGUCAUCACUCUCCGGUCUCGAGCCAUACACACACGAGCCACGAUUCACUGCGCACAUUCGUUGUAAGGUGUAUGCAUUUCAUUAGCAGAUAGUUAAACCUUGAGAGCCAAAACCUUUUGAAAAUAAUUUCAAUUUUUUGUUAAGUAACGUCAAUCCUGAGUCUAUUUUUUUUAAAUUAUAAUUCGAGCUAAUUAUAAUCAACAUUGAAUUAGUGUUUUAUUGACUGAAACAAUGCAUCAUAAUUGAAAUAAUUAAACCUUGGAAUUCGUUCCGAAAUAGAGACACCAUGCAGGCAAAAUUUCGUUAGGCGUAGGCUAUAUUGUGAAAAAGGUGCAAUCAAAUAUUAGCCGAUAAUUGUACCACAUUGUAAUGGUUUCAAAAGGGCUACGAUAGGCCAAUAAAAAAGUGCUUAUUCAUUAUUGAGGAUUGAUGCGGUCAACUGAGCAAAUCUGCCCUAAAACAAAUAUUGCAUUUGUUGUGAAGUUGUUCUACAGAAUGACAGUGUAACCAUAUUAUUUAUAUGGCUUUGCUGCAUUGAUCCACUGGUGGGUAUGCGUUGUAAACAGGCCUCCUCAGUACGGCAUAGGUGCGCCAAGAUAAGCAGCCGCGCUUUUCCCGCAUAUUUGAGCAAUUUUCAAACACUUUAAGUGCAAAAAUAUUUGUUCAGUCUUAUCUAAAAGGUAUCCGUAACAAGGCAUUUAAUUCAACAAGUGUAAGGUAUCCUAAACUUUGAGCCUGUAUCGGAUGACACCUGGGCCCUAUGUGUUUGGUAGUAGGCCUACCUGAAUUACUUUAAAUCCUUGUCACUAGAAUACCGGACUUUGUGUCUUCACAUGGAUACUGUACCUUCUCCUACCCUUAUCUCCCUACCAUAUUUAGGGAAGUGUUGUAUCUUCAAUCCACACUCAAUGCGUACAUUGCUUAAGUUCGAAUGCAAGUGAGUAUUUUGGAUUUUAAAUGUAUAUUUUCUGUCAAAUAUUUCAUCAAUUGCAAACGAGAAAGGUUCGAUUUCGUUCAUCUAAGGGACGAAAAGUAGCUUAGUAGUGAGCCAAGCAGACAUUGUCGUAUGAGGCAAAAAGCCCAACUCAAAGCAUCAUCACAUUUAUCGAAUGACAUUUUCACUACACAAACCUUUUUUUUUCCAUUCUCAUUUUUUUCUGAAUCAAACAGUGACAGCAGUUUAACACCCCCCCCCGCCAUCUCUCUCUCUCUCUC
ensembl:lncRNA